rnacentral:rRNA from 1 species
CUACGGGAGGCAGCAGUGGGGAAUCUUGCACAAUGGGGGAAACCCUGAUGCAGCGACGCCGCGUGAACGAAGAAGCCUUUCGGGGUGUAAAGUUCUUUCGGCAGGGACGAUAAUGACUGUACCUGCAGAAGCAGCUGCGGCUAACUACGUGCCAGCAGCCGCGGUAAUACGUAGGCAGCAAGCGUUGUUCGGAAUUACUGGGCGUAAAGAGUGCGUAGGUGGUUGGCCAAGUUUGGUGUGAAAUCUCCCGGCUCAACUGGGAGGGUGCGCCGAAAACUGGCUGGCUAGAGUGUGGGAGAGGGAAGCGGAAUUCCUGGUGUAGCGGUGAAAUGCGUAGAUAUCAGGAGGAACGCCUGCGGUGUAGACGGCUUCCUGGACCAUGACUGACACUGAGGCACGAAAGCGUGGGUAGCAAACAGGAUUAGAUACCCCUGUAGUCC